UACGUAGGCAGCGAGCGUUGUUCGGAGUUACUGGGCGUAAAGGGUGUGUAGGCGGUUGUUUAAGUUUGGUGUGAAAUCUCCCGGCUCAACUGGGAGGGUGCGCCGAAUACUGAAUAACUUGGAGUGCGGGAGAGGAGAGUGGAAUUCCUGGUGUAGCGGUGAAAUGCGUAGAUAUCAGGAGGAAUACCAGUGGCGAAAGCGGCACCCUAGCGUUGUACUGACGCUCAUGUGCGAAAGCGUGGGGAGCGAACGGG
rnacentral:rRNA from 1 species